rnacentral:rRNA from 1 species
AUUGCCCCAGUAACGGCGAGUGAAGCGGCAACAGCUCAAAUUUGAAAUCUGGCCCCCCCGCGGGGCCCGAGUUGUAAUUUGCAGAGGAUGCUUUUGGCGCGGCGCCUUCCGAGUUCCCUGGAACGGGACGCCAUAGAGGGUGAGAGCCCCGUCUGGUCGGACGCCCAGCCUCUGUAAAGCUCCUUCGACGAGUCGAGUAGUUUGGGAAUGCUGCUCUAAAUGGGAGGUAUAUGUCUUCUAAAGCUAAAUAUUGGCCAGAGACCGAUAGCGCACAAGUAGAGUGAUCGAAAGAUGAAAAGCACUUUGAAAAGAGGGUUAAACAGUACGUGAAAUUGUUGAAAGGGAAGCGCUUGUGACCAGACUUGGGCGCGGCGAAUCAUCCGGCGUUCUCGCCGGUGCACUUCGACGCGCCCGGGCCAGCAUCAGUUCGCGGCGGGGGAUAAAGGCGCCGGGAACGUGGCUCCCCCGGGAGUGUUAUAGCCCGGCGCGCAAUGCCCCGCGGCGGACUGAGGUUCGCGCAUCCGCAAGGAUGCUGGCGUAAUGGUCACCAGUGACCCGUCUUGAAACACGGACCAAGGAGUCGUCCUCGUAUGCGAGUGUUCGGGUGUCAAACCCCUACGCGCAAUGAAAGUGAACGCAGGUGAGAGCCUCACGGCGCAUCAUCGACCGAUCCUGAUGUUCUCGGAUGGAUUUGAGUAAGAGCAUACGGGGCCGGACCCGAAAGAAGGUGAACUAUGCCUGUGUAGGGUGAAGCCAGAGGAAACUCUGGUGGAGGCUCGCAGCGGUUCUGACGUGCAAAUCGAUCGUCAAACAUGGGCAUGGGGGCG